UACGUAGGUGGCAAGCGUUGUCCGGAAUUAUUGGGCGUAAAGCGCGCGCAGGCGGUCCUUUAAGUCUGAUGUGAAAGCCCACGGCUCAACCGUGGAGGGUCAUUGGAAACUGGGGGACUUGAGUGCAGAAGAGGAAAGCGGAAUUCCACGUGUAGCGGCGAAAUGCGUAGAUAUCAGGAAGAACACCAGCGGCGAAGGCGGCACUCUGGGCCGGUACUGACGCUGAGGAGCGAAAGCGUGGGUAGCAAACAGG
rnacentral:rRNA from 1 species